CGGCAUUUGGUCUAGUUGUAGGUUCCUUGAUUUGGGAUCAAGAGGCCCAGAGUUCAAUUCUCGGAAUGCCCC
rnacentral:tRNA from 1 species